rnacentral:rRNA from 1 species
CCUACGGGCGGCAGCAGUCGGGAAUAUUGCGCAAUGGAGGAAACUCUGACGCAGUGACGUCGCGUGCAGGAAGAAGGUUCUCGGAUUGUAAACUGCCUUUGACAGGGAAGAAAAAAGACAGUACCUGUAGAAUAAGCUCCGGCUCAAUACGUCCCAGCCGCCGCGGUAAUACGGAGGGAGCAAGCGUUAUCCGGAUUUAUUGGGUGUAAAGGGUGCGUAGACGGAGAAGCAAGUUAGUUGUGAAAUCCCUCGGCUUAACUGAGGAACUGCAACUAAAACUACUUCCCUUGAGUACUGGAGAGGAAAGUGGAAUUCCUGGUGUAGCGGUGAAAUGCGUAGAUAUUAGGAGGAACACCAGUGGCGAAGGCGACUUUCUGGACAGUAACUGACGUUGAGGCACGAAAGUGUGGGUAGCAAACAGGAUUAGAUACCCUUGUAGUC